ensembl:miRNA
UUUCCUGUAUAUGACCUUGGAAAUCAAGAAUGGGUGGAGCCUGUUGAAUUAAUUCUAGGCGACCCAUACUUGGUUUCAAGGGUCAGCAGGGAA